rnacentral:rRNA from 1 species
UACGUAGGUGGCAAGCGUUGUCCGGAUUUACUGGGCGUAAAGAGCGCGCAGGCGGUCGUGCAAGUCGCGUGUGAAAGCCCCCGGCUCAACUGGGGAGGGUCACGCGAUACUGCUCGACUCGAAGGCAGGAGAGGGAAGUGGAAUUCUCGGUGUAGCGGUGAAAUGCGUAGAUAUCGAGAGGAACACCUGCGGCGAAGGCGGGUUGCUGGGCUGACACUGACGCUGAGGCGCGAAAGCUAGGGGAGCGAACGGG